GGGGUCUCUUGCACUGCAGGUGGAUUCUUUACCAACUGAGCUAUCAGGGAAGCCACAGUCAGUAGGGGUCAGUCUAAUCUGGCUUUGUUUUCCACCUGAAGGUUUGGGACAUGCCUUCUUACUGGAGAGACUACCAUAUUGUUUCCCUGGGGCGCAUUGCCCUGGCUCUUAAUGAGAGUGAGCUGGAGCAGCUGGAUCUCAGCUCCAUCGAUACCGUGGCUUCCCUCAGCCAGCAGACAGAGUGGACCCCGGGGCAGGCUAAAUCCAUUCUGCAAGGGUUUCUGGAGGAUUCAGGCUAUAGGGUCCAGGAUCUGAAGAGCUUCCACUUGGUAGGACUUGGUGCAGCCCUGUGUGCCAUGAACAUCACCGAAAUCUCACUUAUAAAGAUCUUGGAAUUCAGGGUGGUGGUGGCCAGAAUCGGGACCCUGCUCUGCAGUACCCAGAUCUUGGCAGAGUUUAAGAGGAAGGCGGAAGUUGUGUUUGGGGAGCCCACCAAGUGGUCCAGCUUUGUCUUGCAGGAGCUUGGGACCAUUGCAGCUGGAUUAACUAAGGAAGAGCUCCAAAUGCUUGAUAAGGAUUUGAUGCCAUAUUUCCAGCCAUCAGCAAUCAAAUGCCUUCCUGAUGAGAUAUUCAAAGUAAGUACUCAGUUCCUCAAGGAGAAUGGGAGCUGACCCCAUUUCAAAUCACACAGGGAAGCAGAUGGUGGGUGUUGGAUUCUAGGGACCU
rnacentral:lncRNA from 1 species